rnacentral:lncRNA from 1 species
AUGCCCUUUUUUAAAUGCAGACGGGUUACCAAUUACGGGUUCGGGUCAAAACUCAAAACCCGGACCCGUUAUGAAUAAAUUAAUAUUUUUUUUUAAAAAAAAGAACUGAAGACGGGUCGAUCCCGACCCGUCUUCCUCCUCUUUUAGCGGCGGGCUAGGGUUCCGCCGAACCCAGCCCGCCAGCCUCCGGUCUCCGGGGCGGCGAGCGCGCCGCCUCCCUCCG